AAUUAUUGAAGAAUUCCUUUAUAUGAAUAGACAUUUUUUUCUUUAUUAACAUUUAAAAUUAAAAUGCCGGAUCACUUAGGAGCUGACCAAAGAAAAACUAAGGAAGAUAAAGAUGAAGAUAAACCUAUACAAGCAUUGGAUGAAGGGGAUAUUGCCUUGUUAAAAACAUAUGGUGUUGGUCAGUACAGUAAAGCCAUAAAAAGUGUUGAAGAAGACAUUCAAAAUGGAGUCAAGAAAGUAAAUGAGUUAGCAGGAAUCAAGGAGUCUGACACAGGGUUAGCUCCCCCUGCAUUGUGGGAUUUGGCUGCAGACAAACAGACACUUCAAAACGAACAGCCUCUGCAAGUAGCAAGGUGUACUAAGAUCAUUAACGCCGAUUCCGACGACCCUAAAUACAUUAUCAAUGUCAAACAAUUUGCCAAGUUUGUGGUGGACUUGGGAGACCAGGUGGCCCCCACCGACAUAGAGGAGGGGAUGAGAGUGGGGGUUGACAGAAACAAAUACCAGAUUCAUAUUCCCUUGCCCCCAAAGAUCGACCCCUCAGUGACCAUGAUGCAGGUAGAGGAGAAGCCGGACGUGACGUACAGUGACGUAGGAGGGUGUAAGGAACAGAUCGAAAAGUUACGCGAAGUGGUGGAGACCCCUCUCCUACAUCCCGAGCGUUUUGUGAACCUUGGUAUCGAGCCUCCGAAAGGAGUCCUGUUGUUUGGACCUCCGGGGACUGGAAAAACACUCUGUGCCCGUGCGGUGGCAAAUAGAACAGAUGCCUGCUUCAUUCGUGUGAUUGGUUCGGAAUUGGUGCAAAAAUAUGUUGGCGAGGGCGCCCGAAUGGUACGAGAACUGUUUGAAAUGGCCAGAAAUAAGAAAGCUUGUAUAAUUUUCUUUGAUGAAAUUGAUGCAGUUGGAGGUAUGCUUAGAAACAUUCAGAAACAUUUGUAUAGAUAUAUAUAAUUUGAAACAGUACACAUAAGUCAUGCUGUUUUCUUACUUAGAUAGAGGAAUUUUCUCAAUAAAAAUUAGGUUAAGUAUGGAUUAUUUUAAAUCUUCAUUUUAUCUGAGUCAUGUUAUGAUUGUUUCAUUUUUGCCUGUCAUUGUGGCUUGUAUAUUAAACAUAUGUUGUAUGGCAAAUGUCAAUCAAAACCUUUUAACGUUUUAGCUCACCUGAGCUGAAAGUUCAAGUUGAAGUAGGGCCAAAAAUUCCAUUGCCUUUGUGUGUAGGAUUUAUAUUCUGGAAAAAUGACUGAGAACUUCCACAUGUCUCAGAUGAAUUCUAUUGUCACUGACACCAUGUAUAAUAUAUCAGAUAAAAGUUCAAUUCAAAAUUAAAGAGCAUUAAUUUUGAAUCGAAAAUGGCAACUUUGAAUAUUAAGAUGUUUAGAAUUUUUAGCCGCACUGCAAACAUUCAUUUAUCAAUUCAGAAUUUUAAAUAAUUCAGAAUUUUUUUUUUUUAAAUGUGGCUUUACUGAGAUUACCAUCAUAUGGUAUUUAAAUUUCAUUCUUGCCGGGUAGAUGAAGUGGUCAAAACCAAAACAUGCCUGCACACUUAUUAAACAGCCCUUGUAUAAAUCUGAUUAAUGUAUAUGUACCAGUGUAUCAAAAAUAUGUAAAUAUGCUGUUGUAAUGCAUUGUCUAAAAAUCUGGAUAAUCAAUUUGGUGUUUUGAUGGACAGGUGCCCGCUUUGACGAUGGAGCAGGUGGAGAUAACGAAGUACAGAGGACAAUGUUGGAGCUAAUUAACCAACUGGACGGCUUUGACCCCCGCGGUAACAUCAAAGUUUUGAUGGCCACCAACAGACCCGACACCUUAGACCCUGCUCUGAUGAGGCCGGGGCGUCUUGACAGGAAAAUCGAGUUCGGCCUCCCAGACUUGGAGGGAAGAUCUCACAUUUUUAAGAUCCAUGCAAGGUCAAUGAGUGUUGAAAAAGACAUCCGAUAUGAAUUACUGGCAAGACUUUGUCCCAACAGCACAGGUGCGGAAAUUCGAAGUGUAUGCACAGAAGCUGGAAUGUUUGCCAUCAGAGCACGAAGGAAAAUGGCAACUGAAAAAGACUUUUUGGAAGCUGUCAACAAAGUGAUUAAGGCUUACGCUAAAUUCAGUUCUACACCCCGAUACAUGACCUACAAUUAAAAAAUGAACGUCUAUCUCUCAAAAUAAUUUGUGAAUUUAAUAGUUAAAAAUGACCUUUAACUUGUUUAUUUGAACAAUAUGUGCAAGUACAUGAUGCAUUAGUUUUCAUCUUUAUCAAUAAAAUGAUUCUUUAGUUUUUCAUGUGGUUCUGCAACGAUCAGCCCACAUGAAAAGCUAAAGGAAGCAAGCCAUUAAC
rnacentral:misc_RNA from 1 species